UACGUAGGUGGCAAGCGUUGUCCGGAUUUACUGGGCGUAAAGAGCGCGCAGGCGGUCGUUCAAGUCGCGUGUGAAAGCCCCCCGGCUUAACUGGGGGAGGGUCAUUCGAUACUGCUCGGCUCGAAGACAGGAGAGGGAAGUGGAAUUCCCGGUGUAGUGGUGAAAAUUCGUAGAUAUUCGCAAGAACACCAGUGGCGAAGGCGGCUUACUGGUCCGGUUUCUGACGCUGAGGGCGCGAAAGCGUGGGAGCAAACAGGG
rnacentral:rRNA from 1 species